AUGCUGAUUACUAAGUCACAUGCUGAUGAAACAGAGCCCACGUACGACCUCUACAGAUGUCCAGAAAGCCACUUAAUCCCCAAACUGAUAUCCCUUCUCUCAAACCAAUACCAACAGCUAAUAUCAACUAAACUAGCGUUCAUUUCUAAAACACAACUAAGCCGUAUGUGCUUUCUUGUCUGCUUCUUCCAUGCAUGCUUUCUGAGUGUUAGUACCCAUUUUUUAUGUGAUCUAUUCCAUCAUUUUGAAAGUGUAGAACUGUGAAAUAGUUUUGUUAAGUGAGUACUUUACUUGAUGAAAUCUUUAUUUUGAAACGCAAAGAAGCUUUUCCAUCUCUCUCCGUCUGUUUGUAACUUAAUGGUGCCCCCUGGUGGAGAUCUAGCAGGCAGACUACAUGUACUACAGAUCUACAGUCUUUACAGAUACUAACCUUGGUAAGUAGAUCGAUACUAGGCCAUGCCUGGUCACACCGGUCAGGCACUGUGAUAUGGCAGGUGUUUCAUUCAGGUCUUUAAGGAUCUUCAUUAUCCCUGUAUUAUCUCAUAAUAAUACAUAUUUAGGCCAUGGUGUUCUGGACAUGCUUUUAAGAGUGUUUUAUUCAUUUACAUUGACGCUAUAUAAGUAUUUUUCUUACCUAAAUAAUGUGUCCCUCUCUGUGUUUCAUUGAUCUGGCGAAAGGGAGAAGCCGACUUGGAGGAGAAUGUAUGGGAUUAGAGAGGGAGGUAAGAAAGGGUGGGGAAGAGAUGGGUAUGGGGUACACGCAUGGUCAUCCCGUUCUCUAGUGAUGAGACAUGGAGGUUCCCUCUGAGGUUUGGAUAUAGAGCCUUUACUAGGCUUCAAUAAGGUCAAAGGUCAGAGGCAGUGGGAGAAGGCUUAUAUGGGAGAACUGGCGUCUACACUGGAUACUGAAGGGAAAGGGCAUCCGGGGCAAAUUGACCGCAAGAAUCCCAAACAGAUAUAAUAUUCGACUAAAACAGAAUCAUUUCGAACCUUGCUUUCGUUUGUAUACGAUCGCGUGUCUCUUAUGCGUGGGAGUAGUUGGGAACAGAUAUCUCACAUUAAAAUCACGUGGAGCUGAUCUCCUGUUUGUUUCCUACAGUCUUUUAUGUCCAAUAAUAACAAAUAAAAAUAA
rnacentral:lncRNA from 8 species